GAUAACCUUUCACGUAGACCAACACUAGAUGGCUCGGUGUGGCGGGCAUUAGAACUUCGUGACGCAAUGGCGUCAAUUCUCUCGAUUCAGCGCCAAGCACUCAUCCAGAAUUGGCAAUCCAUUGCCUCAAACAAAGACCUCCGACAUAUCCGUCGAUUGCAAUGUUGGCCGUCCUCCAGCUGUUCCAGCCGUGAAUCAGAAACCAGAAUUUAUCGCCUUCGUACAAACACGGCCCCACUGAACGCCUUCCUAUACUCUCGUAAAUUACAGCCGACGUCGGCUUGUCCACACUGUGGCGCU
rnacentral:lncRNA from 1 species